AUUGAACGCUGGCGGCAUGCUUUACACAUGCAAGUCGAACGGUAACAGGUUAAGCUGACGAGUGGCGAACGGGUGAGUAAUGCAUCGGAACGUGCCCGGUCGUGGGGGAUAACGCAGCGAAAGCUGCGCUAAUACCGCAUACGAUCUGAGGAUGAAAGCGGGGGACCGUAAGGCCUCGCGCGAUCGGAGCGGCCGAUGUCAGAUUAGGUAGUUGGUGGGGUAAAGGCUCACCAAGCCGACGAUCUGUAGCUGGUCUGAGAGGACGACCAGCCACACUGGGACUGAGACACGGACCAGACUCCCACGGGAGGCAGCAGUGGGGAAUCUUGGACAAUGGGCGCAAGCCUGAUCCAGCAAUGCCGCGUGCAGGAAGAAGGCCUCCGGGUUGUAAACUGCUUUUGUACGGAGCGAAAAGGCUCUCUCUAAUACAGGGGGCUCAUGACGGUACCGUAAGAAAAAGCACCGGCUAACUACGUGCCAGCAGCCGCAGUAA
rnacentral:rRNA from 1 species